GGUGGAGCGAUUUGUCUGGUUAAUUCCGAUAACGAACGAGACUCUAGCCUGCUAAAUAGUUCGCCGAUUGUCUAAUCUGUCGGCGUUAACUCCUUAGAGGGACAAGUGGCGUUUAGUCACACGAGAUUGAGCGAUAACAGGUCUGUGAUGCCCUUAGAUGUCCGGGGCUGCACGCGUGCUACACUGGAAGAAUCAGCGUGUUUUUCCAUUGCCGAAAGGUAUUGGUAAACCGUUGAAACUCUUCCGUGACCGGGAUAGGGAAUUGAAAUUAUUUCCCUUAAACGAGGAAUUCCUAGUAAGUGUGAGUCAUUAGCUCACGUUGAUACGUCCCUGCCCUUUGUAC
rnacentral:rRNA from 1 species